AUGGCCACCUCGACCGCCGCCGUGCUGUCCCCGCCCACCGUGGCCGGGCUCCGCCUGGCGCCGUCCCCGCGGGCGGCCGUCUCGUUCCGGGCGCCGGCGAGGCGGUCCGUGGCGGCGCGGGCGGCGCUGGAGCCGUCGGUGGUGAUCAGCCUCAGCACGGGGCUGUCGCUGGUGAUGGGCCGCUUCGUCUUCUUCAACUUCCAGCGGGAGAACGUGGCGAAGCAGGUCCCCGAGCAGAACGGCAAGACCCACUUCGAGGCCGGCGACGAGCGCGCCAAGGAGUUCGCGGGCAUCCUCAAGUCCAACGACCCCGUCGGCUUCAACCUCGUCGACGUCCUCGCCUGGGGCUCCAUCGGCCACAUCGUCGCCUACUACAUCCUCGCCACCACCAGCAACGGAUACGACCCACCCUUCUUCGGCUGA
rnacentral:rRNA from 1 species